rnacentral:misc_RNA from 1 species
UUUAACCGAGGGGUACGAGGCAGCGUCACUCCAUCAGGGGCAAAUGGCGAUAGCGUUUCAGUUAUCAGAUGGUCCGGUUGGGGUCCCACGACGGGUGAUGGUGGUGAUCAGGAGCCAUUUGAACGUGCCCGCGAGACUCCUCGUAUUUUUAGCUCCUUUUUGGUUCCCGUAUGGUGGCAUUUUGAGCGCUGCUUCCCCGUAAAGUGGGUGAGUAUGAUCCGAGAAAAUCUCGGAAUGGCGAACACGCAUGGGUGGAAUAUCAGCUGGAUUGUUGAUAUACGGUAUUUGUUCAGAAACGGUAAAUCGUUCAGAAGCGGUAAAUCGUUCAGAAACGCCGAAUCGUUCAAGCCUGGUUUGCUACUCCGCUUCCGCCAGAUCAGAUAAAAACCUGAAGCCUGAACUUGACUGACUUUGGUGUCUGACUGGGUCUCUUCAAGGCCAGGUGACUUAGUCUCAGGCUUAACAUGGCCUGCUACAGCGAGUACGACCCGGUGCAACUAACCGAGAUAGACUACUUGUAGUGAGAGUGGCUACUCGUAGAGCGGUUUCAACUGGAAGGGUCUCCGAGUUCACAGAUGAGAAUGGUGGUUGUGGAACAUCCUUGCCGGUGCGAGUACCACUCAAGCUCAUACAAGUAUGGACACUACUGACGGAGGGCUUUGAGCUGACUUGGAAACGUCAGCAAAACUUCAAAAGAAUGACACUCUCUGUCGAGUUAUGACUCAGUAAGAGACCUGUACAAGUACGAUACCGGUACUUACUUGAGGUUUUGUUGAUGUGAGACUAUACAGUAUGUACAGCCCAACACUAGAAAGAGAAACUAUCGACG